UCUCUUCUAGCUACUGUCUGGUCUGCCAUCCUCCAAAGAAGGAAGAAAGCUGUUGCCAGAGUGAGAUGCCAAACCUGCCCACAGCAGCAGAAGUGGGGCCAAGUACCAACUUCUCCUCAGACGACAACCUAAUGCAGACCUGCAGAAAAAGCCUCACCAAAACUGACGCCUUCCUGAAAAACCUCUGACUAGUGAAGCAGCCUAUUUCCUGUAUGAUAAACGAAUAGUAUGCUCUAACCAGCCCUAAUGCGCAGGAUAUGGGUGUAACUUUGAGAGGUGUCCCUAGUCAAGGGGAGAUCCUGUCAUGCAACCUACUGUUGUAUAAGAGGUACAG